rnacentral:rRNA from 1 species
GCCAGACUCCUACGGGAGGCAGCAGUAGGGAAUCUUCCACAAUGGACGAAAGUCUGAUGGAGCAACGCCGCGUGAGUGAAGAAGGGUUUCGGCUCGUAAAGCUCUUUUGGUAGUGAAGAAAGAUAGAGGUAGUAACUGGCCUUUAUUUGACGGUAAUUACUUAGAAAGUCACGGCUAACUACGUGCCAGCAGCCGCGGUAAUACGUAGGUGGCAAGCGUUGUCCGGAUUUACUGGGUGUAAAGGGCGUGCAGCCGGGCUGACAAGUCAGAUGUGAAAUCCCGCGGCUCAACCGCGGAACUGCAUUUGAAACUGUCAGUCUUGAGUACCGGAGAGGUCAUCGGAAUUCCUUGUGUAGCGGUGAAAUGCGUAGAUAUAAGGAAGAACACCAGUGGCGAAGGCGGAUGACUGGACGGCAACUGACGGUGAGGCGCGAAAGCGUGGGGAGCAAACAGGAUUAGAUACCCGCGUA